CCUACGGGAGGCUGCAGUGAGGAAUAUUGGUCAAUGGACGGAAGUCUGAACCAGCCAUGCCGCGUGCAGGAAGACGGCUCUAUGAGUUGUAAACUGCUUUUAUACAAGGGUAAACCUGAAUACGUGUAUUCAGCUGAAUGUACUGUACGAAUAAGGAUCGGCUAACUCCGUGCCAGCAGCCGCGGUAAUACGGAGGAUCCAAGCGUUAUCCGGAUUUAUUGGGUUUAAAGGGUGCGUAGGCGGAUUGUUAAGUUAGAGGUGAAAUGUUGGAGCUUAACUCGGGAAUUGCCUUUAAUACUGGUAGUCGAGAGAGUAGAUGCGGUAGGCGGAAUGUGUGGGGUAGCGGUGAAAUGCUUAGAGAUCAUACAGAACACCGAUUGCGAAGGCAGCUUACCAAGCUAUAACUGACGUUGAGGCACGAAAGCGUGGGGAGCAAACAGGAUUAGAUACCCCUGUAGUC
rnacentral:rRNA from 1 species